UACGGAGGGGGCUAGCGUUGUUCGGAAUUACUGGGCGUAAAGCGCGCGUAGGCGGCUUUGUAAGUUAGAGGUGAAAGCCCGGAGCUCAACUCCGGAACUGCCUUUAAGACUGCAUCGCUAGAAUUGUGGAGAGGUAAGUGGAAUUCCGAGUGUAGAGGUGAAAUUCGUAGAUAUUCGGAAGAACACCAGUGGCGAAGGCGACUCACUGGACAUGUAUUGACGCUGAGGUGCGAAAGCGUGGGGAGCAAACAGG
rnacentral:rRNA from 1 species